GACGAACGCUGGCGGCGUGCCUAAUACAUGCAAGUAGAACGCUGAAGGAGGAGCUUGCUUCUCUGGAUGAGUUGCGAACGGGUGAGUAACGCGUAGGUAACCUGCCUGGUAGCGGGGGAUAACUAUUGGAAACGAUAGCUAAUACCGCAUAAGAGUAGAUGUUGCAUGACAUUUGCUUAAAAGGUGCAAUUGCAUCACUACCAGAUGGACCUGCGUUGUAUUAGCUAGUUGGUGGGGUAACGGCUUACCAAGGCGACGAUACAUAGCCGACCUGAGAGGGUGGUCGGCCACACUGGGACUGGGACACGGCCCAGACUCCUACGGGAGGCAGCAGUAGGGAAUCUUCGGCAAUGGACGGAAGGCUGACCGGGCAACGCCGCGUGAGUGAAGAAGGUUUUCGGAUCGUAAAGCUCUGUUGUAAGAGAAGAACGAGUGUGAGAGUGGAAAGUUCACACGGUGACGGUAUCUUACCAGAAAGGGACGGCUAACUACGUG
rnacentral:rRNA from 1 species